rnacentral:rRNA from 1 species
GAUGAACGCUAGCGGCAGGCUUAAUACAUGCAAGUCGAACGGCAGCACGGGUAGCAAUACCUGGUGGCGAGUGGCGCACGGGUGCGUAACACGUAUGCAACUUACCCUUUACCGAGACAUAACCCAUCGAAAGGUGAGCUAAUAUCUCAUAAUAUUAUGAAUUGGCAUCAAUUUAUAAUUAAAGUUCCGGUGGUAAAGGAUAGGCAUGCGUCCCAUUAGCUAGUUGGUAGGGUAACGGCUUACCAAGGCGACGAUGGGUAGGGGUUCUGAGAGGAACAUCCCCCACACUGGUACUGAGACACGGACCAGACUCCUACGGGAGGCAGCAGUAAGGAAUAUUGGUCAAUGGGCGCAAGCCUGAACCAGCCAUGCCGCGUGAAGGAAGAAGGCCUUAUGGGUCGUAAACUUCUUUUAUAAGGGAAAAAACUGGGGUACGUGUACCUCAUUGCUUGUACCUUAUGAAUAAGCAUCGGCUAACUCCGUGCCAGCCGCCGCGGUAACAC